CAUGAGCUGGGAAGGGCAGAAAGGGUUAGAAAAUCAGGUUAUCUGCUCAGAGGGGGACCCUGCAUGGAUCCCCAGGUCUUGCUAAGGUGGGGACAUCCAAGCCAGUGAAUGUGUCUGAGCAGGGCUGGCCUCCUCAGGCUCCUAGUGAGUCCAGCCCACUGCCCUCAGGCUGACAUAUGGGGACAUGUGUCAGGAGACAAGGGUUCUGCACCCAAGGUUACUCGGUGCUUGGGGAUAAGUGUUCAGGAGACAUGAGGGGACAAGUGUUGUGGACCCAAGGUGACUGGGCCAGGGAAGAGGUUGAGCUCCAGGUGGUUGCCCUGGCAACUAGGACUUCAUUCUGUGUGUGUGUGUGUGUGUGUGUGUGUGUGUGUGUGUGUGUCUGUCAGGGUUGCCUGCCAGGAGCCCUGGUCACCAUGAAUCCCUGUCCCUGAAGCAGGGCCAUUUUGGGCAAUCGCCUGGGUAUAGACAGAGAGCUGCUCUGAGCAGGGGGAGGGGGCCAGGCAACCAUCUUAGGGGAGAGGAGGCCACACUCCCUGUUCUCCAGCCCAGCCCUGCUUCCUCCCAACCCCCAGAACUCAACUUUGGUGCCAUCACUCUUAACAGCAUGGAUGCCACCAGUGAGCGUGACUUCAUGGCUGAGUUCCUGUUCUAGGCUUCAUUCUGCAUGACCCAUCUCAGCAGGAUGGCCAGGGACCUCAUCCUCUGUGGCACCAAGGAAUCCAGC